UUUUUUAUAAAAAUAAUUUAUUUAUUUAAUGUUUUAGUAUUUAGUAAAAAUUAAUUUUUAGAUUUAUAGUUUAAUAGUAUUGUAAAAGAAUUAAUUAAAUUUGAAAAAGAAUAUUUUUAGUACCUUUUGUAUCAGGGUUGAUUAAAAUUUUUAAUUUUUUUUUAAUUUCUCAAAAUUUAUAGAGUUAAUUUUAUUAUUAAUUUAUUGUGUUAUAAAUAUUUAUAAAAUAAUAUUAGUUUUGAAAUUUAAUUCGUUAUAUUAUAUUUAGUUAUUUAAGAUUUAAAUUUAAUUUAUAAUUUUAAAAGUUAUAUUGAUUUUAUAUAUAAAUAUUUUAAAUUUGAAUUAUUUUAGGGAUAAGCUUGAAAUUUUUAUAUAAUAAUUUAUUUAUUUUAAUAAUUUAUAGGAAUAGAAAUUUUUAUUUUAAGUUUGUAAAAAUUUAUUAUUUAUUUAUUUUUAAUUUAUUAUAAAUUUAUUUAUUUUUUUUAUUAAAUUUUAUUAAUUAAUAUUUAAUUUUUAGUAAUAAUGAUUAAAUUAGUAUAAUUUAAAUUUAUAAAUUAUGAAUUCGGCAAAAAUUAUUUUCAUCUGUUUAACAAAAACAUUGUAUUAAGUUUUAUUUAAUAUAGGAUCUGCUCAAUGAUUUAUUAAAUAGCUGCAGUAUUUUGACUGUGCAAAGGUAGCAUAAUAAUUAGUCUUUUAAUUGAGGACUUGUAUGAAAGAUUUGAUGAGAAAUAAACUUUAUUAUUUAUAAAAUUAAAAUUUUAUUUUUAAGUAAAAAAGCUUAAAUUAUUUAAAGGGACGAUAAGACCCUAUAAAACUUUAUAAAUAUUAAUUUUAAUUUUUUUGGAUUAAUAAAUAUUUUAUUUUUAUUAUUUAUUUUAUUGGGGUGAUAAAAAAAUUUAUUAAACUUUUUUUAAAAUUUUACAUUAUUUAAUGAAUAUUUGAAUUAAAAUUUUUAAUUAAAGGAAAAAGUUACUUUAGGGAUAACAGCGUAAUUAGUUUUUUAAGUUCAAAUUUAAAAAUUAGUUUGCGACCUCGAUGUUGAAUUAAGAUUAAUCUUAGGUGCAAAAUUUUAAGUAUUAGGUCUGUCGACC
rnacentral:rRNA from 1 species